UUAGGACAAUGACUCCACGUCAGUAUAUGCUAAUUAUUAUAUGAUGCAUAGUGCAUAUUAAUAUGAUAUAAAAUAUGCCAUGGAAAGUUCUGGAAAGCUACACAAGAAAUGGGCUCAGACCAAAGGGAAAGGAGGAUUGGGCAACUGGAACUUUAUCUACCCUUUUUGGUGCAUUUUCUGAGUCCUCUCUCCUGGUAAAUGCAUUACCAAGUCCAACCACAGAAGGAUGCAUGCAUUUUAACGAGCUAUUUAUAAUCAGCCAGGCAAGGAGCCUUACGAUGACAAAUGAAUACAGAUGACUUUUUCUCUUGAGCUUCUACGAGGAGACUAGAGAAUGUCGCAGUUCGCCUUCACAGAUAAAAAUAAGUGGAGAUC
rnacentral:lncRNA from 1 species